AGGUCCUGUCCGGACUGUGGCCUUCUCCAGGGGAGAAGACCUCUUCGCCUCAGUGGGUUGUGUUGUUCAGAGCAAGGCCCUCUACACAGCCAGGGUGCUACAGAGAGAAUAUUCCAAGAACCUCUAGAGCCUUCUGAACAACUACCUGCGAUCACUCCAGAGCACAGAGAAGUAAGCUCUGCUGGUGGUAAUAUAAUGUAUGCACUAUGUAAACCUUCUUCACUCUGGCUGUCUGUCUGUGUGAUGAUCAGUGGCGACAUGUUAUUCAGGGCAGCCCCACCUGU